UACGUAGGGUGCGAGCGUUAAUCGGAAUUACUGGGCGUAAAGCGUGCGCAGGCGGUUUUGUAAGCCAGAUGUGAAAUCCCCGAGCUUAACUUGGGAACUGCAUUUGGGACUGCAAGGCUAGAGUACGGCAGAGGGGGGGUAGAAUUCCUGGUGUAGCAGUGAAAUGCGUAGAUAUCAGGAGGAAUACCGAUGGCGAAGGCAGCCCCCUGGGUCGAUACUGACGCUCAUGCACGAAAGCGUGGGGAGCAAACAGG
rnacentral:rRNA from 1 species